CAAAAUCGGAUGAUGGGGAGAGAAAGUGAAGAGAAAACAUGCCACUCCGAGGAUACCAAUCUUCACGUUUUGUUUCAUGAGGAAAAUGACUAAAGGUUUCUUACAACAGAUGGACCCAAGGGCCUGGAUGACGGAAAACUCCAGAGAAGGGACCUUGACUUUCUCUCCAUUAACCUAAUCACACAAGAUGAAGAGCCUCACUUCAGGAUCUGUAUAGCAGAGGAGGACGUGUAAGCUGUAAGGCGUUAAGUUCUGCCAGGAGGAUGAGACGAGUGCGCAGGUGUCGACGCCCCCACCGCCUCCACUUCAGCCUCCAUCGCUGGCCGGUCCUCGUCCCACGAGGAGGCUCUGCGAGGCGUCCCUGCUUUUGACGCCUUGCCACCACAAGGAUUGUGAGAACCACGACCUCCAGCCACCGUCACCAUUUGGUAGCCCCCCCCCGCCUUACCCAUCGGCAGGAUAUGCGCCCUCUUCAUCUGAAUUAUUCAAAGCAGGCGGGGGCCUACGCCAAAGAGAAUCACUACUGCAUACUUCAGUGUCUCAAUAAAUAUCUUAAACUUUAAUUUGGUCUAUCGAGUCUUUCAUGGUAGAAGUGGAGCUUCUCCCUAUUCCCCCUCCCACAAAUCCAUGAAAAAUGCACUUUUAUUGACUGUGGAAUUGGACUGUGUAACUAUUUUGUACACAAAUGUUAUAUGACUCACUCUUGCACCUUUAUUGCUAAUCACAGCUCCUUGUCUACCUUUACUGCACUGCCACUUAUAUGACUGAAUACUUAAAGCCCGGCCUCUGGACUGUACAACAAAGCUUUAGUAGUCUAUGCGGAUUGAACUGUGAAUUACUAUUGGUCUGGACUCUGUGCCACAUGGCUCUGUCUGUAAUUCAUCUUCUUAUUCCUGUACAUAGGUGUAACCC